rnacentral:piRNA from 1 species
UUGCUAGGGCAGCGAUAAUGAAUGGUAGGA